rnacentral:misc_RNA from 1 species
GUUGAGUUGAGUUUUAUGAUUUUUGCCCUAUGGAUGCAAUGCUUGUCUCAAACUGCUUGUGAUUCAAUAUAGAGCCUUAGCUGAGUCCAUUAGGGUCAAAAAGCAUAUGAUUAUCAAGAUAAGGCUGCCUUUAUCAAGUCUUAAUAGUGUAUAUAACAUUGUUGAUGAAAUAUGGGAAUCUACAUAGCUGAGAAAAUAGGCAAGUUUUAUCUGGGGUGAUAAUACAGUUAAGAGAUUUAAGGUCUUGUUUGCUUGGUUUUAUAUAGAUUGAUUUCAUCUAGAAAAUGCUGCAGUUGGAUAUUGAAAUGAUGUGGUAAACUAAACGUGAUUGUUUUCUUCUUGCUUGUGUUUGGGGUGCCUAGAUUAUGUUUUAAAUUGCAAUUUUACAGUACAUGUCAAAUGUAAUACUCAAACUAGAAUUUAUAAUUUUGCAGCUGGCAACCCACAAAAAUG